GAUGAACGCUGGCGGCGUGCCUAAUACAUGCAAGUCGAACGGAGUAUGCAGUAAUGUAUGCUUAGUGGCGAACGGGUGAGUAACGCGUUGGUGACCUGCCCCGAAGAGUGGGAUAACAGAUCGAAAGGUCUGCUAAUACCGCAUAAGCUGUACCCUGUUAGAGAAGGUACAGGAAAAGGAGCAAUCCGCUUUGGGAGGGACCUGCGUCCCAUCAGCUAGUUGGUAAGGUAACGGCUUACCAAGGCGAAGACGGGUAGGGGACCUGAGAGGGUGGCCCCCCACAAUGGAACUGAAACACGGUCCAUACACCUACGGGUGGCAG
rnacentral:rRNA from 1 species